GUGGGGAAUCUUGCGCAAUGGGCGAAAGCCUGACGCAGCCAUGCCGCGUGGAUGAUGAAGGUCUUAGGAUUGUAAAAUCCUUUCACCGGUGAAGAUAAUGACUGUAGCCGGAGAAGAAGCCCCGGCUAACUUCGUGCCAGCAGCCGCGGUAAUACGAAGGGGGCUAGCGUUGCUCGGAAUUACUGGGCGUAAAGGGAGCGUAGGCGGACAUUUAAGUCAGGGGUGAAAUCCCGAGGCUCAACCUCGGAACUGCCUUUGAUACUGGGUGUCUUGAGUGUGAGAGAGGUGAGUGGAACUCCGAGUGUAGAGGUGAAAUUCGUAGAUAUUCGGAAGAACACCAGUGGCGAAGGCGACUCACUGGCUCAUUACUGACGCUGAGGCUCGAAAGCGUGGGGAGCAAACAGGAUUAGAAACCCCGGUAUCC
rnacentral:rRNA from 1 species